AGAAUGCACAGGUCGCAAUGGGAGCAAACUAAGGAGCUUAGAAAAGGUUCCUAUCUGUGGUUUCUGGGAUGAAUCUUUUAGACACUGAAUAGAACUAGCUUUGCCAAGAAAGCAGGAAGGGGAUUCAUGUCACCACGCACAGCGUAAGCAAAAAGCACUGAGACACAGAGCAGCAUAAUGUGCAGGGCUCCAAGUGCAAGAGGGAGAACCACAGAGGCAAGCAUCUGGUGUGUAUGGCACAGGCACAAAGGCAGGUGUUCGGCUUGGCUUGUGCCCAGGCAUCUAGGGGCCACCCUGGGCUGCACAGAUAGUUCUGUUUUCACUGAGUCCCCAAGGUGAAGUGGAAUUGAAGCAAAGUAGAUAUAGUUAGGGAGAAAAA
rnacentral:lncRNA from 1 species